UUCAGCUGUGGUUGUGCAUCAAACCCCAGUGUAGAGCCCAAGGUGAUGGAUAAAACACAUACAUGUGGGACAAAUCAGUCUCAGGCAGUUUGUAGACUUUAAGUAAAGGCACUUACAGGCUGGAUUCACCCACAAUGGGAAGGUGGAGUGAGUUUUAGAAUAGAAAUAAGUGUUUGGUUCCUUGUUAAGUUCAUUAUUAUUUUCAGGAAAUUGGUGCUAAACCAUAAAAGGCACCUCCCUAGGAAAGGACAAGAGAAGGAUGGGAGUCUCUGCUCUGCCUGGAGACAGGAGCUGGGGAAGAACACUGAGCACUGAUGCACAUUUUAUCUGUGGAAACUGCACUCUCCCCCCAUGGAGUCUAGGUAAGAAAGCGAGCUCCCAAAUCCAGAGAUGACCUGGAACAAUGAAAACAAGAGACUGAUUUGGUCCAUCAGCCUCAGUGUGGCUCUACAUGGCACAAGGACUCAACCUUCAGCCAGUUUGGGAAGAAAGGAUGAGAAAAAGCACAGAAGACGGGAGGAGGGUAAGUCUGGAAAGUAGAGAGCUGCCAGGACUGGAUAUUGAGCUAAAAAAUCAGUGGUAGGGGAAGUGUUACCAGCAGCCUAGGCAAAAAAAAAAUUAUCAGAGGAAGAAUACAGAAUACUUGGAAGGACACUGGCCAAAGCAGGCUUUGGUUUUGUUAGUUAUGGACAGGAAACUCACAACCAAAGGUGGCUUGGAAGAGAAGGAGCACAUGGAUCAAAGAAGAGGAAAUGCCACAGUGUAUUCACCAAGGCUCUGCCUGCUGCUGAAUAGCAGAGGGAGAGCAGAGCUUUUUGUGCUUGAAUAAGAAGUUUAAAGAAGUCUUUCAAGAACAGUGUAAGAAUCUAGAAAAAGGAAACAACCUGAAGUGAUUGUGGGCAGCCCCUAGCAUCCUGGAAUAAAAAGAACAAUACAAAAGAAAACACAGCCCAACAGAAAUAAUGGGGACGAUAGAGGGAGCCAAAUUAAUUCAAAAAAACAUUAGGCAAAAUUGGUACCGUAGCUCUUCUGACAAAAAGAGAGAUUAGGAGUCUUCAUUUAAAGUUCACAAAGCUCUUAGCAGGGCAGAGAGUGGGGAUACUACAAAGCUGUUUGACCCAGUGUCAAGAACAAGCAAAGAUGCAGCAGUGAGAUAAGCCACAGCUGGACAUGGCAGGAAUUCAGGAAGGAAUGUCAGCACAGAGCAAGAGAGAACUGCAACAUAAACUCCCCUUACAUGGCCAGGGCACCAAAAGUUAGCUCCAUGGAAGAGCUGGGCAUUAGUAGAAUUCUGUAACUAGCCCAGAGGACACUGUGCCUGAGGAUUUGUCACCUCUGGUUGUUUCACACAGAACUGCUGGUGUUUUACAGUGAUCCUGCAUGCUGACAGAGUGCCCUGAGCUGGCCUGCCCUCUCCUCUCACAGCUACUGCAGGGAGCUGCAGCUGGCUCAAUCCAGUGCAGGCAGACACAAUACACAAGAGAUCACAUUCUGUCUUGCUCAAGACCAAGUCUUGCAGUCAUUGUGCCUUGAAACACAGGCAGGGUUUCAGUGUAGCAUGUUGGUCUCCUUCAAACAAUAAAUGAACCAAGUCAAAAGCUUUUAGGGAAAACAGAUGCAAAGGCUGAACUUAGAAAGAUAACUAAUAAACCACUUAAAAAAUAGAGUGCAUUUUGGCAAAAACCUUGGUGAGGAAGGCAUAGGAAAUCUAUUUUCUGUGUGAAAUUUACAGCGAAAGAAAGCAAGGUCUGUGUGUGAACAAAAAUCAGGUGUCUGAUGACGCCUCCUGUGCCAUCCUCUCAGCCAUGCCAUUUCUCAAGUGACUCUCCCAGGCCCCCAAAGAGCACAGCAGUUGCCACACCAGAUGAGCCUGGUAGCCUUCCUAAUCCAGUCUUCUCACUCCAACAGUUGCUACCCUCUGAUACUUCAAAGAAAGGUGCAAGAAACUCCAUAGUGGACAAUUAUAGAAUAACCCGCCCACAAGGGAAGUUUUUCCCUAAUCCCUCGCCAUCAGUUAGUGGUUAUAUUGUGCCUUGAAGCCUGACAGUUUAUAUCCCUUCUAAAAUUUAUUUAUAUCCUGUCUAAUGUGACCAUGAAUGUUCUUGGUAUCCAUAUAAAUGUCUAAUCCUUUUCUGAAUCCUGCUAAUCUCCUGGCCUCAAUGAAACCUCAUGGUAACAAAUGCCAUGUGUUAAUUACACAUGGUACAAAUAUUUCCUUGCACCAUUUUAAAUUUGCUUCCUUCCAAUUUCACUGGGUAUCCCUUGAUCCUGCAAUAGGAAAAAGGGCAAUGAAAUUAGAGCUUGUUCAUUCUUGCUGAGCCACGCUGCUGCUCCUUGAUUUGUUUCUUCUCUAAACCAGCUUGUUCCCAUCCUCAGCCAGUUUUCCCUGGUCAGGCUGUUAGGCAGUGGCCUGAGACACAGCACAGAGCUUAUACCUUCACCUUAUUCUCUGUUGAUAUGUUCAUUUUGAGUGGAAAAAGAGAGAGGAAACCCUGGAGAUCUCAAAAGUGCAUGCUGAAAUCAGACUGCUUUGUCAGCAGGUGUUAGGGUGGCACUGAGGGAUGCCACCAGCCUUUCCCUGCAAGUCAGAGACGGAGGCAAUGUGUGAACCUGAGUCUGCAGCCUGAACCCUUGGAGCUUCAGGCUGCUCCUGGAAGGGGAUAUCCCCCUCCCACUGCAACUCAGUCAUUUCACUGCUUCCUCACAUCCUCGCCAGUUAAGACCAGGCUGUGGGAUUAGUGCAGUUCUGAAGGAGUUGCCCUCAUCCACAGCCUAACCCUGCUCUGCUGUGACCGUGGUUGAACUCCAGUUUCACGCUGGUGUCACUGGAGCUAAGCCUAACUGAGGCAGAGCUGUGCACGGUGAUCCUUGGCAGCUGUUUUGAAGCUGGGCUGCGGUGCCCACAGAGAGCUCGUCAGGUGCUGCAGUGACAGCACACGAGGUCACAGCUGCUCGCGGUUCCACUGGAGCUGUGUCCCGUUAACGCAGCUCCACAGGCAGUAAUUCAUCCCUGUUUGUCGCGGAACGUUUUCUCGCAAUACAAUUCAAAAUAGGGCAGCGUUGCUCUUCAUUUCCGAGCCGGGAGGAACGGGGGCACCGGGAGUGUGGGUGACACGCAGAGCUGUCCCCGGGCACCGGAGCGCGUCCGGCUCCUCGUGGCAGCCGCAUGCGGCCAACAAGAAGCGCUGCUUGGGCUCCCUCACUCAGAGGCACGAAGUGGGAGCAGAAACCCUGGGGGAUUCGCAGGGGUUCGCUGCACCAGGAGCCAUCCCCGGCAGCUCCCGGUGCCAGCCAAGGGAUCGGGAUCAGCACCAGGACCGGGACCGGCGGAGCCGCCGCGUGUGGGAGCGCCCCGCCCACAGCCAUAGCCCCGCCCCAGAUGGGCGUGUCCGGGCGGGCGCCGGGGGCCUGUUGUUGUGAUGAGCGCUGGCCCCGCCCGCUCCUCGUGCACGGCCGCGCGCCGCCCCUCCCUCACGCCUUUUGUCCCCGCCCCGCCGGGCCCACCAUGCCCCGCCCCCCGCCCGAUCGCGCCUUCCCAUUGGU